rnacentral:rRNA from 1 species
GACGAACGCUGGCGGCGUGCCUAAUACAUGCAAGUAGAACGCACAGUUUAUACCGUAGCUUGCUACACCAUAGACUGUGAGUUGCGAACGGGUGAGUAACGCGUAGGUAACCUGCCUGGUAGCGGGGGAUAACUAUUGGAAACGAUAGCUAAUACCGCAUAAUAUUAAUUAUUGCAUGAUAAUUAAUUGAAAGGUGCAAUUGCACCACCACCAGAUGGACCUGCGUUGUAUUAGCUAGUAGGUGAGGUAACGGCUCACCUAGGCGACGAUACAUAGCCGACCUGAGAGGGUGAUCGGCCACACUGGGACUGAGACACGGCCCAGACUCCUACGGGAGGCAGCAGUAGGGAAUCUUCGGCAAUGGACGAAAGUCUGACCGAGCAACGCCGCGUGAGUGAAGAAGGGUUUCGGAUCGUAAAGCUCUGUUGUAAGAGAAGAACGGGUGUGAGAGUGGAAAGUUCACACUGUGACGGUAUCUUACCAGAAAGGGACGGCUAACUACGUG